GUCCUCGUUGCUGGUUCGUCUGUGUUGUUCCCCUCCACUUUCCUGUGCAUUCUCUCCGCGUUGUUCUCCCUGCAUCUCUGUUUCACGUCUCAAGGUUUCAGGGGUUGCCACAACAGAUCAUCUGCUUCCAUCUCACCCUAUCCCAGCAUUCUUUACUGUCACAUCAACUCCCUCUGCAUGUCCUCCUUCACAACAUCUAUGAAUCUUCCUUGCAGCUUGGUCACAAAGUGGUAGUAAAAUCACAGAGGAAGGUCAGCGGAUGGACAUGCGCAUAGAGGUCCCAAACUUUCUGCAGACUCAGACUUCAGAUUAGCUCAAGAACAUGCAGUGGUGUAAAGCAUGGUAUUGCAGGAGCAGUGGAGAUGUGUUGUCUGGAGCGACAAAUCAUGCUUCUCCGUUUGGUAAUCUGAUGGGUGACUGGGUUUGGCUGUUGCAAGUAGAACUACACUUGUCUGACUGAAGUGUAAAGUUUUAUAGAUGGAGGAUUAUGGUGUGGGGUUGUUGUUCAGGAGUUUGGAUUGACCCCUUAGUUCCAGUGAAAGAAAGUCUUAAUGAUUCAACAUACCAAAAUAUUUUGGAAAAUUUCAUGCUGCCAACUAUGUGGGAACAGUUUGAAGAUGGCCCCUUUCUGUUUCAACAUGACUGCGCACCAGUGCACAAACAAAGUUUCAUAAAGACAUGGAUGAGUGAGUUUGAUAUGGAAGAAACUGACUGGCCUGCACAAAGUCCUGACCUCAACACCUUUGGGAUGAAUUAGAGCAGAGACAGCGAGCCAGGCCUUUUCAUCCACUAGGGGUGUCUGACCUUCUGGAUCCUAAACCUUGUGGAAAGUCUUCGCAGUCUUCAAAGUGUUGCUCAGAUACUUUCUGACAAGAAACCAAAAAACCAACAGCUAAGGAAGAGCAAGAAAAGAAAGACGAAAGAAGAGAAAACCUGGCAGCCUACUGAGAUGUAACAUCAUCCGAUAUUCUGG